GUCUGCAGGAUCCAGAGGUUCCAGAGGCGGGCCCGCAUGCCGUACCUGCGUGCCCCAAAGUCGGACACGAACCCGCCGAAAGGCCGGGCGACGAUGUUAGCCAUACCGAAGCACGCAGCGAUGAUGCCGGCCGUCCGGAGGUUUAGGUCGAACCGGUCGUAGAAGUACUCCGCGAUCACGUUGUCGGUGGUGAGCUCCACCCCCAUGGAGUAGCCAUAGAGGAGCACAAAGAUCCAGGUCCUGUAGUUGGUGACGGCAUACCAUAAUACCUGAAAGGAGGAACACAUCAAAACCAUUAAUCCUAAAGGAUCAGGUUACUAAAGGAAGAUGAAGAAGAAGAAGAAGGAACUGCUGGUACCUUGGAGAACUUGUCCUUGGCGACGUUGCCCUUCUUCUGAAGGGUGCUGAGGUUGCCGUCGGGGAGGUCCUGGCCGAGGACUAGGACGAGGAUGCCCAUGAUGACGUGCAUGAGGCCGGGAAUGAAGAAGGCUAUGCGCCAGGCCAGGAAAGGGGUGGCGCCGGCCUUGCGGAUGAUAUCGUAGACGAGAGGCAUGAUCAGCUGGGUGGCGCCGCCACCCAUGUUGCCCCAGCCGGCGGCAGUGCCGUUCGCCAGGCCAAUGAUCUGGCUGUUGAACAUGGUGCUCAUCCAGUACUGGCAGGAGACGAAGGUGGCGAGGGAGAAGCCAAUGAGGAAGCGCAUGGUGAUGUACCCGCCGGCGGAGGACACCAGCGACAUGCAGAAGACGGUGGGCGCCGACAGCAUGAUGAGGAAGGCGCACCCGUACCGGGGACCGAGGAGGUCGCACACCGCGCCCAUCAUGAGACGGGAGAAGAUGGCACCGGACACGGAGGCGACGCCGGCGUUCCCGAUGUCGCCCUUCUUCAGGUUGAGGUUGUCGCGGAUGAUGGGGACGAGCGGGGCGGCGGCGAAGGUGGAGACGAAGCACGUGAAGAAGGAGAUCCAGGAGAGGUGGAAGGUGCGCAUGUGGGGGUUGGCGAAGGAGAAGAGCUUGAAGGCCUUCGCCUUGUGCUCCGAGUCGACGGGGAGGGCGAACUUAGCCGUGGCGUCCGUAGGAACUGACGGCGACGUCUCGAACGCCAGCGUCGGCUCGCGCCCUG
rnacentral:lncRNA from 1 species